rnacentral:rRNA from 1 species
AGUGAACGCUGGCGGUAGGCCUAACACAUGCAAGUCGAACGGCAGCACAGUAAGAGCUUGCUCUUACGGGUGGCGAGUGGCGGACGGGUGAGGAAUACAUCGGAAUCUACUUUUUCGUGGGGGAUAACGUAGGGAAACUUACGCUAAUACCGCAUACGACCUACGGGUGAAAGCAGGGGAUCUUCGGACCUUGCGCGAUUGAAUGAGCCGAUGUCGGAUUAGCUAGUUGGCGGGGUAAAGGCCCACCAAGGCGACGAUCCGUAGCUGGUCUGAGAGGAUGAUCAGCCACACUGGAACUGAGACACGGUCCAGACUCCUACGGGAGGCAGCAGUGGGGAAUAUUGGACAAUGGGCGCAAGCCUGAUCCAGCCAUACCGCGUGGGUGAAAAAGGCCUUCGGGUUGUAAAGCCCUUUUGUUGGGAAAGAAAAGCAGCAGGUUAAUACCCCGCUGUUCUGACGGUACCCAAAGAAGAAGCACCGGCUAACUUCGUG